GUGAGUGAUCUCCCUGUCUUUAUGUCAGCCAUCAAAUCUUUUCUAUCACAUUUGCUUCCUCUGUCAUUCUAAGGAGGAGGAGCUUGGUGCGGACCUGUCAGUCAGCUAAGGCUAAUACACCAGAAGAAUUCAAGACAGUGUUCAUUCACUGUAAAAAUGGAGCAAGGAGAUGUGUGUUAUGACAGAGAUACUAGAUCAGAGAAUCCAAUAUAAAGACUACUUGUUAUGUUUAUGAUUUCAAAAUUAAUGGAGCAUAAAAGAAUAAGUUUAAAUGCAAGUGAAGUGGACACAGGAAUGAGAAGACUAUUUUUUUGAGUCCUCAAGGAAGUUUUAUUUACGGAGCUGAGAGUUGUAAGGAAGUACUUCUGACUCCAGAGAAACUACGGACCUGACCUCUCUCUUAAAGAGAAAUUCUAUAAAUAUGAAAAGACAUGCUUUUAUAUGUUUCCUUUUGUAAUUUAUCCAGAUAGAGAGGAGUUAAUUAUAUGUUUGUCCAUCUUUAAUACUACUGGCUCAUGGACUAAAUGUGCAUCCAACAAUACUUGUUUCAGUGUCAUUCUUUUACCAAUGUGAUAUUCAAACCAAUUCUAGAAAGCCAAGAGCUGUUGUGUGAACGUAAAGUGGUACAGAUAUUUGCUAUUUCUUGUAUUGCAACUAUAAUAGCAUGACUACAGGGAUCUAAGGGCCAAGCUGGAG
ensembl:lncRNA